rnacentral:rRNA from 1 species
AUGAACGCUGGCGGCGUGCCUAAUACAUGCAAGUCGAACGAACUUCCGUUAAUUGAUUAUGACGUACUUGUACUGAUUGAGAUUUUAACACGAAGUGAGUGGCGAACGGGUGAGUAACACGUGGGUAACCUGCCCAGAAGUAGGGGAUAACACCUGGAAACAGAUGCUAAUACCGUAUAACAGAGAAAACCGCAUGGUUUUCUUUUAAAAGAUGGCUCUGCUAUCACUUCUGGAUGGACCCGCGGCGUAUUAGCUAGUUGGUGAGGUAAAGGCUCACCAAGGCAGUGAUACGUAGCCGACCUGAGAGGGUAAUCGGCCACAUUGGGACUGAGACACGGCCCAGACUCCUACGGGAGGCAGCAGUAGGGAAUCUUCCACAAUGGACGCAAGUCUGAUGGAGCAACGCCGCGUGAGUGAAGAAGGGUUUCGGCUCGUAAAGCUCUGUUGUUAAAGAAGAACGUGGGUAAGAGUAACUGUUUACCCAGUGACGGUAUUUAACCAGAAAGCCACGGCUAACUACGUGCCAGCAGCCGCGGUAAUACGUAGGUGGCAAGCGUUAUCCGGAUUUAUUGGGCGUAAAGCGAGCGCAGGCGGUCUUUUAAGUCUAAUGUGAAAGCCUUCGGCUCAACCGAAGAAGUGCAUUGGAAACUGGGAGACUUGAGUGCAGAAGAGGACAGUGGAACUCCAUGUGUAGCGGUGAAAUGCGUAGAUAUAUGGAAGAACACCAGUGGCGAAGGCGGCUGUCUGGUCUGCAACUGACGCUGAGGCUCGAAAGCAUGGGUAGCGAACAGGAUUAGAUACCCUGGUAGUCCAUGCCGUAAACGAUGAUUACUAAGUGUUGGAGGGUUUCCGCCCUUCAGUGCUGCAGCUAACGCAUUAAGUAAUCCGCCUGGGGAGUACGACCGCAAGGUUGAAACUCAAAAGAAUUGACGGGGGCCCGCACAAGCGGUGGAGCAUGUGGUUUAAUUCGAAGCUACGCGAAGAACCUUACCAGGUCUUGACAUCUUCUGACAGUCUAAGAGAUUAGAGGUUCCCUUCGGGGACAGAAUGACAGGUGGUGCAUGGUUGUCGUCAGCUCGUGUCGUGAGAUGUUGGGUUAAGUCCCGCAACGAGCGCAACCCUUAUUACUAGUUGCCAGCAUUAAGUUGGGCACUCUAGUGAGACUGCCGGUGACAAACCGGAGGAAGGUGGGGACGACGUCAAAUCAUCAUGCCCCUUAUGACCUGGGCUACACACGUGCUACAAUGGAUGGUACAACGAGUCGCGAGACCGCGAGGUUAAGCUAAUCUCUUAA